CAGUACAGUUCUGGAUAUGCAAUCAAAUGUGGUUUGUUAGCUGCUUGGCUAGUUUAAUGGGAGGGAAUUGACAUUAAAUUGGGUCUAUUUGCCAUCAGUCUUGAUAAUUUGUAAGAGAGAGUAGAGAAGACACUGAUGAAAUUCACAGAUGAGUGAAUGGAGGUCCCAUCAGGAAAGAAUGAGAGAUUAACAUUAAGGGUCCUAGGGAGACUGGAAAUGGGCAGGAAGUAGAAAUCAUCGUGGAAAAAUGUCUAUAGUUCAUCUGGGGAAAGAAGUCCAGGCCGAAUGGCUGAUAAUCAAGAGAAAGAAAGCCACUGGGGAUAGUGCCUAGAAAAUCAGAUAUUACAGAUGGCUGCCAAGGUUUUGUGUAGUGAUAAUUCUAAAUGUCUGUAUGUUCUCUGUCUGGGAGUGUCCUACCACAGCUCAUGUCAGAUGUGCUCGGAUGAAAAUAAGAUGCAGAGAUGAAGCGGAGAUAUUAAGUUAUAAUAGGAGUCUCCAGAGAGGGUUUGAUGGACCCAGGUGGUUGUUAAUUGUCUAGCAUACUUAAACUUUCCCUCUGCACAGGCCAUUUUUUUCAUAACCCAAUCCUUCUCUUAUUUCUGACCACUUAGCAGCUUCAGAACUAUCCAUAAUGCCAACGGAAGAAAGCACAUCGUCCAAGAUUCAGCUUUCCUUUCACCCAUGGUGAUCUGUCUUCUUUGAGGAGACGGAUUUACAGAUAGUUGCGAGCCUUCUGAUUUGAUGCUGGGAACUAAAUAGCAGUAAUGUUUUGUUUGGUUUUGGUUUGGAGGUUUUUUUGUGUGUUUAUCUGUUGGUUGGUUUUUUGUUUUUGUUUUUUGUUGUUGUUUUUUGUUUUUGUUUUAGUAGCAAUGGUUGUAAACUCUGAUACAUCUCUAACUGUUCAAUACCAUCAUUUUUGGAAAGGUUAUAUGUCACACACACUUCCAAAUUACUUCUUAUUUCUAACAUGGAUACUGAGGGCCUGUUGUCAUGGAGUAUUGCUUUUGGUCUUUAAGUUAUAAACUGUUUGUGGGUCUGUUCACCUUAUUCAUUAAUGGACUCUAGCAUUUAUUGUCUCCCAGAACUUACUUUUGUGUAAAAGUAACUGAUAAAUUAAUUUCUAAAGGAAAGUCCCACCAUGAUGCUGGGCUCGUCACAGAGUCCAACCAUGUAGACAGUGAGAAUGAUCAUGGUCAUGGGGGAGGGUCAGGAGGGUCCUAUUGUACAGCAGCUUAUCUGCUCCCACAAUCCAGGAGUAGAUCAGCCAAUAAGAGAGCUAGCAGUGACAAGAGGAAACAGCAAAAAUGAACUAAAUAUAAAACAAUCAUCACCAAAUAUUAUUGCAGAAAUCUUCAGGGCAUGUGUGUGAAAAUAAAUGUUGAAUAUUCAAGUGGCCCAUGGGUCCUUACUCCUUGCCUUCAAGGAUAAUGAAGAGAAGAGAUCCUGGCUGGCUUAGUGGAGCAAUAUUUAUCUGGCAUCCAUGAGGUCUUGGGUUCAAGCCCCAGUACUGAAAAAAAAAAAGUCAGGGAAGGGACUAUAUGUAAAACUUUUCUCCACAUCUGAUCAGAAUAUCCAUUAUAAUUCUGCAUAAUUAUAUCCAAGCAUAUAACCAGAAGGGAAAUACUUAUUUAGAAAACAUUUGCGGGGCUGGAGGAUGGCUCAGUGGUUAAGAGCACUGAUUGCUCUUCCGAAGGUCCUGAGUUCAAAUUCCAGCAAUCACAUGGUGGCUCACAACCAUCUGUACAGCUAUAGUGUUCUUAUAUACAUAAAAUAAAUAAAUAAAUGUUAAAAAAAAGAAAACAUUUGUCUGCAUAACUUAUAGAAAUAACCAAAUUAUGUUUAAUCAACUACCAGUACACCAUGGUCUCCCAAUUGCAAACAUAAACUUCAGGUCAUUUCUCUUUUUCACUCUAUUCAUGCUGUUCACAUUGCUGGCUACAGAGUAUUUCAUUAGUUUUGUGAUUCCUACAAUGUCAUUUUUCUAUCUCAUAAAUUGAUAGGUGAAAAGGUUGUCUUGUAAACAGACCAGCCCUCGACCACGUGACCUCUUACAGAAUAACCCACUAUGUAUAUGAUGGUAUGCGCAGAGUUCCUUUUACUUGGUAUCAGCAGAUGAAGAUGAGGAGCCCUGGGGCUGGUGACAGCUCUGCAGAAAGAUUGCCUCCACGUCUGUCUGCAGGCACUAUGUUCCAAGGUUGCGAAGCCCCAGGUUGUGAAAGUUAUUGAGUUGUGUGAACUGUAGAGUGCACUCUAAGGGUCUUAAGGAAUGUUCUGUUCUUUCUUACUCUGUGGAGAUUUGGUCUCUUAAUUUACAUAUUCGCAGAUAUUCUGGCUAUUGCCUUAGAAACUGUCUGAGAGCAUUAUCAGUGGUAGAUUUGCCUCCUCAUGCUGCACCUGAUCACAUUCAGAAGAGGGGCCAUCGCUCUCUGUGGACCAUAUGCUUUUAGCUUCACAUGCCCAGCCCAAGUCCAAGCUGUUUUUCCACUGACACAGACAUCUGGAAGUAUACUAACAGGGAGGCAAUGCAAUCGUUUACAUUUGGUUGGCUAAGUGGUUUAAUUGCAGAUUCCGAGUUAAGACUCAAUGUACUAGAAAAUUUUAAAUCCUUGUGGUUUAUCAUGGUGAAAUCUGGGUCAUAGCUACUUUACAAAUGUUAAGUUAUAUUAGUAUCCACCCUACUCUGAUCUCUGAGGCGGGAGAGGUACAGCUCGAAGGAGUGUCUAUUUACCUAAAAAGUAGGUGCUAAAGAACACUUAACAGGAAGUUAGACUUUCUCCUGCCAAGAAUCUGUCGUUCCUAAAUGUCUUUAAUACGUGCUCCCGGCACAUUAGCCUACAUCAAUGACCAUCCCUGUAGAAGCUGGCCCUUGCUCUUCUGUCUUGCUGGCUAUCAGUCCUGCCCCAUGAAUGUAACUUUGUGCCACUCUGACAGAUGUUCUUUGGAAAUCAUUAUGUUGAAAAGCCCUUAGGUUUCACUCAGAAAUCCCAUCUACAACUUGCUUUAAAUUAAAGAAGAGCACAGGACAAGAGAAACCAAAAGGAAAGAAGAGGCCUCUCCGUGUCUGAUUCAUCUGUAUCUUCUUGCUCACAACAGAUCUUGCCAAUGACUUGAGCCACCAGAAUUGAACUCCUUUCCUAAUUUUGUUGUCCCAGAAACCUGUCCUCUCAUGUGUUAAAGAUGGAAAUAAAGAAUUCUGGUCUUUAUUCUCUCAAA